AUAACGGUGUUGGCCUGGAACUGUCGAUGGUUGGGGUUGACCUCGACAGUGGGUGUAUUACGGGACCUUAUUAGGUCGUACAACCCAGCAGUGGUGUUCCUUUGUGAAACAAAGAAGAAGGCAAGAGCAAUGGAGAAAAUAAAAUGGAGCCUGGGUUUCAAGUGUGGUGUGGCUGUGGACAGCGAGGGGUUAAUUGGUGGACUGGCUUUGUGGUGGAGAGACCAUGUGAAUGUUACGGUGAGGCCCUGGUGCCAAUAUUUCAUUGAUGUUGAGUUGACUGUGCAUGAUAAAACCUGUAGAUUCACUGGAUUCUACGGGGAUCCUAGGACAGAGUUACGCAAGAAGUCUUGGGUUGCCAUCUGGUUUCUACGUGCUCAAGACAAUCUCCCAUGGAUAUGUGUGGGGGACUUCAAUGAGGCGCUCUUUCAAUCGGAUCAGAUUGGUGGGAACCCGAGAGGCUUUACACAAAUGGAGGAUUUCCGUGAUUGCCUAGCUGACUGUGGGCUUGCGGACCUAGGCUUCUCAAGCUACAUGUACACGGGGGAUAACAAAAGAGACGACGGGGAGAAUAUCUAG
rnacentral:rRNA from 1 species